AGAACGAACGCUGGCGGCAUGCCUAACACAUGCAAGUCGAACGCUUCACCGGUUUCGGCCGGUGGGGAGUGGCGCACGGGUGAGUAGCGCGUGGGAACCUGCCCUGUUGUGGGGGAUAACCGAGGGAAACUUCGGCUAAUACCGCAUAAGCCGGUUGUCUUGAAAGAGAUGGCCGGGAAAGAUUUAUCGCGACAGGAGGGGCCCGCGUCGGAUUAGCUAGUUGGUGGGGUAACGGCCCACCAAGGCUGUGAUCCGUAGCUGGUCUGAGAGGAUGAUCAGCCACACUGGGACUGAGACACGGCCCAGACUCCUACGGGAGGCAGCAGUGGGGAAUAUUGGACAAUGGGCGCAAGCCUGAUCCAGCAAUGCCGCGUGAGUGAUGAAGGCCUUAGGGUUGUAAAGCUCUUUCGCCCGCGACGAUGAUGACGGUAGCGGGAGAAGAGCCCCGGCUAACUUCGCGCCAGCAGCCGCGGUAA
rnacentral:rRNA from 1 species